rnacentral:rRNA from 1 species
UACGGAGGAUGCGAGCGUUAUCCGGAUUUAUUGGGUUUAAAGGGUGCGUAGGCGGGCUUUUAAGUCAGCGGUAAAAAUUCGGGGCUCAACCCCGUCCGGCCGUUGAAACUGGGGGCCUUGAGUGGGCGAGAAGAAGGCGGAAUGCGUGGUGUAGCGGUGAAAUGCAUAGAUAUAACGUAGAACACCGAUAGCGAAGGCAGCUUACCAGACUGAGUCUGACGCUGAUGCACGAGAGCAUGGGUAGCGAACAGG